rnacentral:rRNA from 1 species
CCUACGGUGGGCAGCAGUGGGGGAUAUUGCACAAUGGAGGAAACUCUGAUGCAGCGACGCCGCGUGAGGGCAGACGGUCUUCGGAUUGUAACCCUCUGUCUUUGGGUGAGAAAAUGACGGUACCCAAAGAGGAAGCUCCGGCUAACUACGUGACAGCAGCCGCGGUAAUACGUAGGGAGCGAGCGUUGUCCGGAAUUACUGGGUGAAAAGUGAGCGUAGGCGUGCGAGAAAGUUGAGUGUUAAAUCUACCGGCUAAACUUGUAGCUGCGUUGAAAACUUCUUUUCUUGAGUGAAGUAGAGGCAGGCGGAAUUCCUAGUGUAGCGGUGAAAGGCGUAGAGAUUAGGAGGAACACCAGUGGCGAAGGCGGCCUGCUGGGCUUUAACUGACGCUGAGGCUCGAAAGCGUGGGGAGCAAACAGGAUUAGAUACCCGGGUAGUC